rnacentral:rRNA from 1 species
UACGUAGGGGACGAGCGUUGUCCGGAUUCAUUGGGCGUAAAGCGCGCGUAGGCGGCUCGGAAAGUCGGUCGUGAAAUGCCGGGGCUCAACCCCGGGACUGCGUCCGAUACUCCCGAGCUGGAGGUAGGUAGGGGAGAUCGGAAUUCCUGGUGUAGCGGUGAAAUGCGCAGAUAUCAGGAGGAACACCGGUGGCGAAGGCGGAUCUCUGGGCCUUACCUGACGCUGAGGCGCGAAAGCUAGGGGAGCGAACAGG